CGUGGCCUACGACUGCUACCUGGGGCUGGAGCUGGCUCCUCCUCCUCCAGUCUACGCUCCAGAUCAGGCAUCAUCACCCUUCUGGAAGAUUAUGUGUUUUAGUGUCAUGGCCGUGAUCGUUGGCGUAUUCUCUGCAGCAGCAGCAUAUUGCCUGCGCCGGCGAAUCUGCGGCUGACUGGAUGGCCUCUGUACGUAGGUCAGAUCGAUUGGCAAUUUUAAUUUAGCUAGCUUGCUGCCUCUCGUAGUUCAUUAGGAGGAUGCAUGGUUCUGUAGCAGCUUACGGUGACUGAUUGUGCGUAGGCUGUAGCGCCUAGCUAGUACGUCGAACCGAUCGACUUUGGAUUUACCCGGUGUCACCUGCCUGCCGGGUGUGGAUUGGGGAUAUUUGAGAACAUGUUUUAGUACCGGUACAUGUAUGUGUGAUUUCUCCUUUUAUUCCCCUAAUGUUAUUCUCGAAAUGCCCUCCCACCGUGCUACUCCAUUUUAAAAGACUGCAAAUGCAUGCAGUAGCAUGCUCAGCUUUAUUCAAAACCAAACCUUCCGGGACCAAUGCGCCGUUUACUCUCUUGAGAGCUUGAUCACUUGGAGAGUUUCAAAUUCCUCAAGGAAGAACAAUGCCAUCCGCGGCGACCCUUUGUCUGCCAUCGCAUCCGUGGCCUUGUCCUUGGCUAACGCCAGCAGCCGAUCUCUCCGUCAGCUUAUCCGCUUCACCAGAUUCCUCCAUCGAUCAUCAGCAGGUCACCUUCUCCACCUCGCCGGCCUUCACCAGCUCGUCAUUGUAUUAUAUCCCCUCCAUCACGAAGACGAAGGCAGCCUUCAUUUCCUCCACCACACGAACGCCUUGCGUCUGUGCCUUGGCGAUUCGAUUCGGUUCCAAAUACACUUACAGUCCAACUGCAAGUCUGCAACCUAUUGUGGAUAGAGGCCUCUGGAAGGUGUUCUCAUGGAUAGCCUUCCGGCGGGCGUACCAAACAGAUGGAACCCGAUGGAAAAGAUUGCUAUUAAUAUACGGAGUACUUAUCAGUUAUCACGCAAAGAAAGAGGAUGAAUAAUGUGGACUAAAUAUAUUUAUUCUUGCUCAUCUCAUCACAACAGUUUACGACAACAAGGCCGGUAUU